CCAAUAGCGUAUAUUAAAGUUGCUGCAGUUAAAAAGCUCGUAGUUGAAUUUCGGGAUCAAUAUGUCGGUCGUGCCUCGGUACGUACUGGCUUAUUGGUUUCUCCCUUCUGAAGAACCGUGAUGUCAUUAAUUUGGUGUCUUGGGGAAUCAGGACUGUUACUUUGAAAAAAUUAGAGUGUUUAAAGCAGGCUCACGCUUGAAUACAUUAGCAUGGAAUAAUGAAAUAGGACGUUUGAUCCUAUUUUGUUGGUUUCUAGGAUUGACGUAAUGAUUAAUAGGGAUAGUUGGGGGCAUUAGUAUUCAAUUGUCAGAGGUGAAAUUCUUGGAUUUAUUGAAGACUAACUACUGCGAAAGCAUUUGCCAAGGAUGUUUUCAUUAAUCAAGAACGAAAGUUAGGGGAUCGAAGACGAUCAGAUACCGUCGUAGUCUUAACCAUAAACUAUGCCGACUAGGGAUCGGAUGAUGUUAAUUUUUUAAUGACUCAUUCGGCGCCUUACG
rnacentral:rRNA from 1 species